rnacentral:rRNA from 1 species
CCCUAGUAACUGCGAGUGAAGCGGGAAAAGCUCAAAUUUAAAAUCUGGCGGUCUUUGGCCGUCCGAGUUGUAAUCUAGAGAAGUGUUACCCGCGUCGGACCGUGUAUAAGUCUCCUGGAAUGGAGCGUCAUAGAGGGUGAGAAUCCCGUCUUUGACACGGACUACCGAGGCUUUGUGGUGCGCUCUCAAAGAGUCGAGUUGUUUGGGAAUGCAGCUCAAAAUGGGUGGUAAAUUCCAUCUAAAGCUAAAUAUUGGCGAGAGACCGAUAGCGAACAAGUACCGUGAGGGAAAGAUGAAAAGAACUUUGGAAAGAGAGUUAAACAGUACGUGAAAUUGCUGAAAGGGAAACGCUUGAAGUCAGUCGCGUUGGCCGGAAAUCAACCUUGCUUUUUGCUGGGCGUACUUUCUGGUUGACGGGCCAGCAUCAGUUUUGACCGAUGGAAAAAGUCUAGGGGAAUGUGGCAUCUUCGGAUGUGUUAUAGCCCUUGGUCGUAUACAUCGGUUGGUACUGAGGAACUCAGCACGCCGCAAGGCCGGGUCUUUGACCACGUUCGUGCUUAGGAUGCUGGCAUAAUGGCUUUAAUCGACCCGUCUUGAAACACGGACCAAGGAGUCUAACAUGCCUGCGAGUGUUUGGGUGGAAAACCCGGACGCGUAAUGAAAGUGAAAGUUGAGAUCCCUGUCAUGGGGAGCAUCGACGCCCGGACCUGAAGUUUUCUGACGGCCCUGCGGUAGAGCAUGUAUGUUGGGACCCGAAAGAUGGUGAACUAUGCCUGAAUAGGGUGAAGCCAGAGGAAACUCUGGUGGAGGCUCGUAGCGAUUCUGACGUGCAAAUCGAUCGUCAAAUUUGGGUAUAGGGGCGAAAGACUAAUCGAACCAUCUAGUA